rnacentral:lncRNA from 1 species
AAGUACGUAGAUGCUAAGACUAGAUCACAUGGAACUAACUAGCUGGCUGCGCCAUUGGUGAUGGGGUGCUGUUGAGAUAUUGUAGCUUGUUUGGUAGGUAUAAUAUCUACUGCUGAAGUAGUGAUGUCUUUCCACGAAUCUCCUUAACGUUGUAUGCAUAUGUCAACAGUAGAUACUUCCUAGGACUCAGGUAUAUGGGUAAUUGUGCAGGUAAGCUUGAAAUGUCAAUUUGGAAAAGAAAUCAAAGAUUGACGCUCAGCUUUGCUUCUCACGCAUAGGGCGUUGUGAUGCUUCCAAUCAUAUAUCUUGACUUUAGGUCUUCUAGGAUCUCAACGGUGCUUGCUUCUUAUAUUUGUCAAGUUAUAUUUGGUCGUUGGUGCUUGGUGCUUGGUGCUACUAGAGGGUGAGAAGAAAAGAGAACAUAUGAGUGUUUAUUUUGCAAUUAGUAAAGAGCACUGAAAAUUGCUGUUAUUUUUGCCGAAGGCCUCUCUUGUUCACCUCUUGUUUAUGUUUGUAUGAGGUACUCUGCUCUGUCAUGCAAUAGAUGACAUAUCUGAAUUCUGGACUAUGCCAUCUGAGAGAUCUUGGAUUGGGCAGGCUUAUCCUCUUGUCGGUAUUCCUCAUGCUAGGAUGCCUCUGCCCCUUGACCUGGCAGGAGCAGAUGGGCCUGUUUAUGUACAAUACUUAGCAGUAUCACGGGAUUUUGAGACGAAGAUAAGCACAUGGUAAGCUUGAAAAGCAGCCGAUCAAAGUUAGAAGGGUGAAUUGCCCUUUUCAUACUUGUUGAUUUUGGAAGUUCCUUCUGGCCUUUGCCAGUUAUAAAAAUUAAUUAUAAAGCUCUUUUUUUCCCGAUUUGAAGAUUCUGCUCGUGUUUGCUUCCUUAGCCACGUGCUAUGCUGUCAUUAGAUGCCAUUUUUAGGACAUUUUGGGAAAUAGUCCAACUGCACACUUCAUCUUCGUUAUAGCUUUUGCGGCUACCUCAGUAUUUAAUUGAUUUGGGAUAAACUUAACUGAUAUCUUUGCUUUGCUUGUUCUCUGAUAUGGUGUCAUUCCUUUCUCUUGUCUUGGUUUAAUUGGAUCUAUAGCCGUAUAUUCAUGAGACGCGGCACCAGCAUGCCAUGAGAAGAGUCGGGAAGUAGAGGGCGGUUUCUUCAAGAAAAAUCAAGGCUUCAAAUGAUGCAGCCGAAGAGAAGGGAACAAACUUGGUCAGGCUCUGUCUUCCCAAUCUGCCAGUUCAUUGGGCUCUCUGAACCUUUUGCACCUGACUUCUCUGAAACCUGGAAUUCAUCUAGUAAACACAUGGUAGGAAGGAAGGCCGCAAGAAGGGUGUCAACGCUUCAAUUUGAUUUGGAUUUUCAGCAAAUCCGAACUGAACUAACCGUUAAGGUUAGUAGCUGAACCGAACUGAACUACAAUCCAAACUAAAUACGACCUGAACAAAAACUUAGUUCGGCUCGAUUUGCUUAUUUGGUUUUGUCUUCAUAUUUUUUAAUGAUAAAAAUGCCUUUUUUUCCUAAUUUACUUGUCCUGUGUUUACUUUAUUUUUAUUUGGGUGGGGGCAGGGGAUUAGACUAAUCUGGUCUAGGAAAAAUAGAGUAAAAGAACAGCUAAAGUAAUUUACAUAAUUAUGACCAAAAUCAAAGGGUUAAAGAUUGGGUGGUUAUUCAAUGAGUGCGUAAGAGUUAAAAAUAAGAGGGAAGACACUUUAUCAUUUAGGUAACUCAAUUUGCUUGCAAUUGCUUUUAUUGGUGGGCCCGUCAACUCUUGAGUUUCAUUCUUAAUAUGAUGUAGUCGAGAUGGUGCCGGAUCGAGCAAAGAAAUUGCAUCUCCUUGAGCAACUGAUUUCUAAAGCCAUCUCUCUGUUUCACUCCGAAGUAAAUCCAAGCUUCAUAAUUGCAUUUUGCUUUUAGAAUUUGACUUUAAGAGAGAGCCAACUCCUUCCGAAUCGAACAUCAACACCCUCAAUAGGAACCAUCUUUUUGUUGACCAUGCCAUUAGCCCGCGAAACCAAUGACAUUAUUACUAUAUAUGGGCAUAAAUUAAUGUAGUUUUAAUUGGUAAAUAUCAUGUGUAGAUAAAAGCUUAUGCAGUUUAAUCCACAAGGAUGUUGUUACAAGUGAAAACAUAUACAU